UACGGAGGGUGCAAGCGUUAUCCGGAUUCACUGGGCUUAAAGGGAGCGUAGGUGGGUUGGUAAGUCAGUGGUGAAAUCCCCGAGCUUAACUUGGGAACUGCCAUUGAUACUAUCAGUCUUGAAUACUGUGGAGGUUAGCGGAAUAUGUCAUGUAGCGGUGAAAUGCUUAGAUAUGACAUAGAACACCAAUUGCGAAGGCAGCUGGCUGCACAAUUAUUGACACUGAGGCUCGAAAGCGUGGGGAGCAAACAGG
rnacentral:rRNA from 1 species